rnacentral:rRNA from 1 species
GGAGUAUGGACCGUGUCUCAGUUCCAUUGUGGCCGUUCAUCCUCUCAGACCGGCUACCGAUCGUCGGCUUGGUGCACCUUUACUACACCAACUACCUAAUCGGACGCAGGCUCCUCGCAAAGCGAUAAAUCUUUAGUAACAAAGUCAUGCGACUCCACUACAACAUCCGGUAUUAGCGUCCCUUUCGGGACGUUGUCCCCGACUUUGCGGCAGAUUACCUGCGCUUUACUCACCCGUUCGCCACUAGCACCGAAGUGCCCGUUCGACUUGCAUGUGUUAAGCACGCCGCCAGCGUCGUCUCGAGCCACGGAGUCAACUACU